CAAGGAUUCCCCUAGUAACGGCGAGUGAAGCGGGAAGAGCACAAAUUUUAAAUCUACCUGGUUUCCAGGUCGAGUUGUAAUUUGAAGAAGUGUUUUUUACUUUCCGGGUUGGGUUAAAUCCUUUGGGAUAAGGUAUCAUGGAGGGUGAGAAUCCCGUGUAUACCAACCGCAGGAUYGUUUAAUAUACACUUUCUAAGAGUCGAGUUGUUUGGGAAUGCAGCUCUAAAUGGGUGGUAAAUUUCACCUAAUGCUAAAUAUAAGCGAGAGACCGAUAGCGAACAAGUACCGUGAGGGAAAGAUGAAAAGAACUUUGAAAAGAGAGUUAAAUAGUACGUGAAAUUGUUGAAAGGGAAACGGUURAAGUCAGUCAUGCCGGCGGGAAUCAACUUAGGGGAAACUCUGAGUGCACUUCUUCGCUUGGCAGGUUAGCGUCGAUUUUGGAUGUCAUAAAAUGACUGGGGGAAGGUAGCUCUUUCGGGAGUGUUAAGCCCUURGUAGAUGUGAUGUCCGGGAUCGAGGAUUGCAACGGAUACCUUUUGGGCUAACCGCCUAGUCUCUAAUAYGAAGUUGGGUUAUGGACAGCACGCUGACUGUGAUCUGAUUUUCGGUUAAAAGAUUAGAGCGAGUGUAAAUUCGUUAAGGACGCUGACG
rnacentral:rRNA from 1 species